UGCUACUCUAGCUACUCCUGCCCCGGCCAUGCUCAACUUCGCUCCUGGUCAGUUGCCGCAGUGAUGUUCAUUGAUGACCUGCACUUGUACCAAUGUAUCAUGCUGCUAUUUGGCAAUUCAGUUUCACAUUGCAUGUGGAUCUUAAACUUAUACAGUAAGCUUAGUUAUUUGCAUAUGUAAAAUAUGCUGACAAAGUGUUAUGUUGGAUUACCGCCUCAUGUUGAUGGCAUUGUCUCUAAACAUUUAA